CUCUGUCAUAAUCUGGAAUGAUGAUAUCAAUCAAGUGAAGCAGCUAUCACAGGGUCUGGAACAUAGUACAUCCCAGCCUUCUUGCACAUAGAAACACUACACAGCACUUCAGCUGUAUGUUUGGGGGCCAUUUUAAACAGCAAAAUCAUCAACAGGAAGCAGAAAAUUGUAAAAAUUGUGGCACUAAAUAGACCAUGUAAAGGACACAUGUUUGCAAUAAGAAAGCUGAAACAAGAAGGGGGAGUGUCACCUUAUUUGAUCCAGCUAGAAACUUAGGUUCUGUCAAUAGAAGAUACUAAAGAAAGAAAGCCAGGAGAAGAAAAGGGACUUCUUUCUUCAAGGUCUAAGCUGUUCUAAUAGCAUUAUUCUGGGAAUGGCAUCUUCCACUCCUCCUAGUACAAAGAACCUGCUUCCUCAUACCCCGUCAAGGAACUGCAGCAUCCAGGUGAUGGCCACAGUGGCAGAACCUAGGAAGCCAAGAAGAAACCAGAGAAUGGAGACACAUGGCAGCAAUGGCAAGUCAUCAGACCCAGGAUUUCCCAAAGAACACUGGUCCAGGAAGAUGCUCUGUGAAAAAGUGUUCCCUGGUCGGAGAAAUUUGUGAAACACUUUGCAUAAUACUUAAAAGAAUGUAUGGCACAUCAAAGAUCUUAUAACAGUCUCCGCAGGAAGCAGCUGCAGUCAUUAGCCAUAGGACAGACUAAACACACAAUCUGCAUGGAAGGAGGCCUGGAUCAGCUUGGUCUUUCAGAUCUCUAAUCUCAGGCACAGGAAAGCACCAUCAACAGCACCCUUUGUAUAUAUACAUAAAGGUAACAUAUUUUAUCAUUUAAAGGGAUUUGAGAAAUUGAAGAGGCCCAACUCUUUUUCUGCCUUCUUUGGUUUGAGGCUUAGAUUGCUUAAGGGGCUUGCCCAGGAUCACAUAUCUUGUAAGAGACAGAGCAAGGAUUCAAAGCCAGUGCUGGCUUCUGUGUCUCCAUUCUUUCCAUUCUCCUCCAGUGGCUCUUUUGGGAAGCUGAGGGAGGAACAGCAGCAGAAUUGGGUGGCACCUGCCCAUGCCCAUCAUGC
rnacentral:lncRNA from 1 species